rnacentral:rRNA from 1 species
AUGGUGCCGGGGGAUCAGGCGGAGGAGUCCAUCGUGGCCAUGGCGGACGGCGGGCACGGCAGCGGCAAGGAGGGCGCGCGCGUGAUGGACGGCGGCGAGGAGUCGGAGCGCGGGCACGGCGACGGCGGGUUCACCGUGAAGGACAUGCUCUGGCACGGCGGAUCCGUGUGGGACGCCUGGUUCAGCUGCGCCUCCAACCAGGUGGCGCAGGUGCUGCUGACGCUGCCCUACUCCUUCUCGCAGCUGGGGAUGGCCUCCGGGCUGGUGCUGCAGGUGUUCUACGGCCUCAUGGGCAGCUGGACCGCCUACCUCAUCAGCGUCCUCUACGUGGAGUACCGCGCCCGCAAGGAGAGGGAGGGCGUCAGCUUCAAGAACCACGUCAUCCAGUGGUUCGAGGUUCUGGACGGGCUGCUGGGCCCGUACUGGAAGGCGGCCGGGCUGGCCUUCAACUGCACCUUCCUGCUCUUCGGCUCCGUCAUCCAGCUCAUCGCCUGCGCAAGUAACAUCUACUACAUCAACGACCGGUUGGACAAGCGGACGUGGACCUACAUCUUCGGGGCCUGCUGCGCCACCACCGUCUUCAUCCCCUCCUUCCACAACUACCGACUCUGGUCCUUCCUCGGCCUCGGCAUGACCACCUACACCGCCUGGUACCUCACCAUCGCCGCCGCCGUGCACGGCCAGGUCCCCGGCGCCAAGCACUCGGGCCCCAAAAGCCUGAUGCUCUACUUCACGGGCGCCACCAAUAUCCUCUACACCUUCGGCGGCCACGCCGUCACCGUAGAGAUCAUGCACGCGAUGUGGAAGCCGCGCAAGUUCAAGUACAUCUACCUGGUGGCCACGCUGUACGUGUUCACGCUGACGCUGCCGUCGGCGUCGACCAUGUACUGGGCGUUCGGCGACGCGCUGCUCACGCACUCCAACGCCUUCUCGCUGCUCCCAAAGUCCGGGUGGCGCGACGCGGCGGUGAUCCUCAUGCUCAUCCACCAGUUCAUCACCUUCGGCUUCGCGUGCACCCCGCUCUACUUCGUGUGGGAGAAGGCCAUCGGCAUGCACCACACCGGCAGCGUCCUCAGGCGCGCGCUCGCGCGGCUCCCCCUCGUCCUCCCCAUCUGGUUCCUCGCCAUCAUCUUCCCCUUCUUCGGGCCCAUCAACUCCGCCGUCGGCGCGCUCCUUGUCAGCUUCACCGUCUACAUCAUCCCCGCCGUCGCCCACAUGCUCACCUACCGCUCCGCCCACGCCAGAUCGAAUGCGGCGGAGAAGCCGCCGGCGUUCCUGCCGAGCUGGAGCGGGAUGUUCGUGGUGAACGCGUUCGUGGUGGCGUGGGUGCUGGUGGUCGGGUUCGGGCUCGGCGGCUGGGCGAGCGUGUCCAACUUCGUCAAGCAGAUAGACACCUUCGGGCUCUUCGCCAAGUGCUACCAGUGUCCCCCGAGGGCACACCUCCCGGCAGCGGGGUCGCCCCUGUCAGCGCCGGCGCGCCACUAG